CCGCGUGACCCGGCGGGAGCGGGAGGGGCGGGGCCAAGAUGGCGGUGUGCAUCGCCGUGAUCGCCAAGGAGAAUUACCCCCUGUACAUCCGGAGUGUCCCCACGGAGAACGAGCUCAAGUUCCACUACACCGUGCACACCUCCCUGGACGUGGUGGAUGAGAAGAUCUCAGCCAUGGGCAAAGCCCUGGUGGACCAGAGGGAGCUCUACCUGGGGCUCCUCUACCCCACUGAAGACUACAAGGUCUACGGCUACGUGACCAACUCCAAGGUGAAGUUUGUCAUGGUGGUGGAUUCCUCCAACACAGCCCUGAGGGACAACGAGAUCCGCAGUAUGUUCCGCAAGCUGCACAAUUCCUACACAGACAUCAUGUGUAACCCCUUCUACAACCCCGGGGACAGGAUCCAUUCCAGGUGAGUGCCUUGUCCACGUGGAUCUCUGGCACCUUCCUGGCAUUUUCAGGGCACUUCUGAUGCAACAGGACCAACCUGUGGUGGGCCAGUUCAGGGCUUUUGAUACCAUGGUGAACUCCAUGAUGAUGCAGGUGUGCUGAGCCCCUUCCCACCCCCCUGGGAAACAUUCCCUGUGUGCAGGAGCAUGCCUGCAGUGCUGUAAAUAUUCCAUUCUGUGUCAUAAUUUAAAUUUCUUCUGUGUAAAAUAAACAUGACACCUGCAA